rnacentral:rRNA from 1 species
UGGUGGAGUGAUUUGUCUGGUUAAUUCCGUUAACGAACGAGACCUCCGCCUGCUAAAUAGUCUGCCGAUUCCUGAAUCGGUAGCGACUUCUUAGAGGGACUAUGGGUGUUUAGCCCAUGGAAGUUGGAGGCAAUAACA